rnacentral:tRNA from 1 species
CGCGGGAUGGAGCAGCAUGGUAGCUCGUCGGGCUCAUAACCCGAAGGUCGUCAGUUCAAAUCUGGCCCCCGCAACCA